GUAUCUUCAGUCUGGACUCCACUGAUGGUCAGAGUGAAAUCACUGCCAGAUCCACUGCCACUGAAUCUAGAUGGAGUUCCAGUAUAACGGCUUGUUGCAUCAUAUAUGAGGAGUUUAGGAGCUUCUCCAGGUUUCUUGGAGCGUUGAAAGACCCUCAUCCAGAACUAUCGGAUCAGGAGCUCUUCUGGGCAGUGGAUCAGUAUGACUUUGUCAUCAUGCUGUGUGCCGGAGAUCUCCAGUGCUUCUGGCACUUUGCUCACUAUGGUCCUGCUGGUGACUGUGUGGCCCUUGAUAGACAUCUGUCUGUGAUUGUUAAUGCUCCGAGCGGAUUAAUAAUCGGCACAGCUGACGAUGAAAGUGCUCAGAUUGUCUUCAGUGUUGAGGAGACUGCAGGUUUUUAUCAGAUGUGCUUCAGUAAUUUCCACAAUCGCUUUGGGAUCAUGCAGGUUUUCCUGAACUUUGGUGUGUAUUACAAGGAAGAGAAGAAAAAGACAAGAGAAGAAAAAGGAAGAAAAGAAGAAAAAGAAAGAAGAGGAUAUGAAACAGAUAAACAGUUCAUUGUCCUUUAUUGUGUGUAUCUCCAGAAACAAGAGAAGCAGUGGAUUCCAGUAACAUGAAGCUCCUGUGAGGACGCUGAACAUCUGCUGAUGGAGCUGCUCUAUUCUGAGAGGAACAGAAUCACCUGAUGAUCAAAUAUGAGUUUCAC